UAUCUCUCUGUCUGGUCAGUUUAUUAUAUCUCUCUGUCUGUUUAUUAUAUCUCUCUCUCUCUGUCUGGUCAGUUUAUUAUAUCUCUCUGUCUGGUCAGUUUAUUAUAUCUCUCUGUCUGGUCAGUUUAUUAUAUCUCUCUCUCUCUGUCUGGUCAGUUUAUUAUAUCUCUCUCUCUCUCUGUCUGGUCAGUUUAUUAUAUCUCUCUCUCUGUCUGGUCAGUUUAUUAUAUCUCUCUCUCUGUCUGGUCAGUUUAUUAUAUCUCUCUCUCUGUCUGGUCAUUUAUAUAUAUCUCUCUCUCUGUCUGGUCAGUUUAUUAUAUCUCUGUCU
ensembl:lncRNA